rnacentral:rRNA from 1 species
GGGGGUAGAGCACUGUUUCGGCAAGGGGGUCAUCCCGACUUACCAACCCGAUGCAAACUGCGAAUACCGGAGAAUGUUAUCACGGGAGACACACGGCGGGUGCUAACGUCCGUCGUGAAGAGGGAAACAACCCAGACCGCCAGCUAAGGUCCCAAAGUCAUGGUUAAGUGGGAAACGAUGUGGGAAGGCCCAGACAGCCAGGAUGUUGGCUUAGAAGCAGCCAUCAUUUAAAGAAAGCGUAAUAGCUCACUGGUCGAGUCGGCCUGCGCGGAAGAUGUAACGGGGCUAAACCAUGCACCGAAGCUGCGGCAGCGACACUAUGUGUUGUUGGGUAGGGGAGCGUUCUGUAAGCCUGUGAAGGUGGCCUGUGAGGGUUGCUGGAGGUAUCAGAAGUGCGAAUGCUGACAUAAGUAACGAUAAAGCGGGUGAAAAGCCCGCUCGCCGGAAGACCAAGGGUUCCUGUCCAACGUUAAUCGGGGCAGGGUGAGUCGACCCCUAAGGCGAGGCCGAAAGGCGUAGUCGAUGGGAAACAGGUUAAUAUUCCUGUACUUGGUGUUACUGCGAAGGGGGGACGGAGAAGGCUAUGUUGGCCGGGCGACGGUUGUCCCGGUUUAAGCGUGUAGGCUGGUUUUCCAGGCAAAUCCGGAAAACCAAGGCUGAGGCGUGAUGACGAGGCACUACGGUGCUGAAGUGACAAAUGCCCUGCUUCCAGGAAAAGCCUCUAAGCAUCAGGUAACAUCAAAUCGUACCCCAAACCGACACAGGUGGUCAGGUAGAGAAUACCAAGGCGCUUGAGAGAACUCGGGUGAAGGAACUAGGCAAAAUGGUGCCGUAACUUCGGGAGAAGGCACGCUGAUAUGUAGGUGAAGCGACUUGCUCGUGGAGCUGAAAUCAGUCGAAGAUACCAGCUGGCUGCAACUGUUUAUUAAAAACACAGCACUGUGCAAACACGAAAGUGGACGUAUACGGUGUGACGCCUGCCCGGUGCCGGAAGGUUAAUUGAUGGGGUUAGCGGUAACGCGAAGCUCUUGAUCGAAGCCCCGGUAAACGGCGGCCGUAACUAUAACGGUCCUAAGGUAGCGAAAUUCCUUGUCGGGUAAGUUCCGACCUGCACGAAUGGCGUAAUGAUGGCCAGGCUGUCUCCACCCGAGACUCAGUGAAAUUGAACUCGCUGUGAAGAUGCAGUGUACCCGCGGCAAGACGGAAAGACCCCGUGAACCUUUACUAUAGCUUGACACUGAACAUUGAGCCUUGAUGUGUAGGAUAGGUGGGAGGCUUUGAAGUGUGGACGCCAGUCUGCAUGGAGCCGACCUUGAAAUACCACCCUUUAAUGUUUGAUGUUCUAACGUUGGCCCCUAAUCGGGGUUGCGGACAGUGUCUGGUGGGUAGUUUGACUGGGGCGGUCUCCUCCUAAAGAGUAACGGAGGAGCACGAAGGUUGGCUAAUCCUGGUCGGACAUCAGGAGGUUAGUGCAAUGGCAUAAGCCAGCUUGACUGCGAGCGUGACGGCGCGAGCAGGUGCGAAAGCAGGUCAUAGUGAUCCGGUGGUUCUGAAUGGAAGGGCCAUCGCUCAACGGAUAAAAGGUACUCCGGGGAUAACAGGCUGAUACCGCCCAAGAGUUCAUAUCGACGGCGGUGUUUGGCACCUCGAUGUCGGCUCAUCACAUCCUGGGGCUGAAGUAGGUCCCAAGGGUAUGGCUGUUCGCCAUUUAAAGUGGUACGCGAGCUGGGUUUAGAACGUCGUGAGACAGUUCGGUCCCUAUCUGCCGUGGGCGCUGGAGAACUGAGGGGGGCUGCUCCUAGU